CCCUCACGCCUCACUGCCUUAACCGUCAUCAACAAACCUAGCUUCACUGCUUCAGUUUCUUCACGUUCUUAGCUUCUUGUUUAUUCAAUCUUCAUUCUUCAGUUCUUUUCUUGUUUCUUCAAGUUUCUCAGUUUUCUUUCCGGCCGCCUCACUCGACACUCACUGCAUUCUAUUCUGUCUGUGCCUCAGCCGACGCCGUCUACGCCAUUUGAGCGCUGGAAGACUGGAAGUGGACAAACCCAAGUUGCAGAUCUAGAGCAAUAGGUCCUUCAUUUCUCGUGAACCCAAGUUGCAGAUCUGGAGCAAUAGGUCCCAGCGCUGGAAGUGGACGAACCCAGAGUUGAUUUGUUACAAAACGCAGUGAUGGGUUAUGUGUGAUGGGUUGCUUAGGAGUCAAGCUCGAGGAAGCUAAUCGGGAGAUUCAAGGAGUCAUGCGUUUGGCGAGGUACAAAUGUAUAGGUAAGGAUGUAUAUGAACCGAGCCGAGCCGAGCUUUGCAUGUUCGAACUCAGCUCGACAAAUUUUUAGUGUUAGAGCUUGGCUUGAGCUUGAUGAAAUUUUCAAAAUUUAUGUUCGAGCUCGGCUCGUUUCCUUCUCAAGUGGUUCGAACUCAACUCAAACUUGAUAAGUAUUUAUCAAAUAAACGAGAUCUAACUUAUUUAAAUUUUCCUUUGUUUUUGAAACCCCAAACAGAGAGCAAUACUGCAUUAGAGAGGAAACAAAAACACACACACACACAAACACACAAAAUCGUCGAUGAAAUGAAAAAAAUCACAGUGCCAAUGAAAUUUUAGGAUAAAUAACUCUAAACAACCUAUGAGAUUUUUGGAGAAAUGAAUAAAAACUCAAAGUUCUUUCUACAAGAGAGUAACCAAGUAACAAAAAUAAAAUGAAAUAUUUUAUACAAAAUAUAUAUGCCCAUAAGAUGAUGAAGCAUGCAAUUCUGCGGGUGAGCCCAAGACAAGUUGUCGUCGUCAUGAGAGAGGCUUCGAGAUCUAAUUGUACAGAGAGAAGAUGAGAGAGGGGUUGAGAUUCUUGAGAAAAAGCUGUUGCCAGUAAGGGUUAAAGACGUUUGUGAGAGAGGCAUAUCAAAUCUUAUUGAAUGUAGGGUGGGUAGUUGAGAGCAUUAACUAUUUGAGUCUGUCGAGUUGAGAAACCGAAGAGUCGAAGACGAAGAGGUAAGUUUCGUGGCAGCGUGAGAGUUGAGACUAAAGAGUAAAGAGUAAAAACUUGAAGUCGAAGAUGUGAAAAACAAAAUAUCUGAAAAGAAUCAAAUUAUUUGACCGUUGGAUCUUCAUCAAUGUGAUCCAAGCCACACAAUGCUUUUCAAAUUUCGAUACAUCUUCUUAUCUACUCGAGGACUAUUGGAAUUUGGAGUCUUGGAGAAACUAGAAGAUCUGCUCGAGGUCUAUUGGAAUUUGGAGUCUUAUCUUUUAUUUCCAAGUUGGAUCCUUAUGUUCAAGUUGUUCAACGUCAACCCAUCAAGAUUCUAAGUCCUAA